rnacentral:rRNA from 1 species
CAGUCGAGCGAGAAAGGGGAGCGAUCCCUGAGUAAAGCGGCGCACGGGUGAGUAACACGUGGGGAAUCUACCUCUGGGUGGGGAAUAACUCUGGGAAACCGGAGAUAAUACCGCAUAAGCCUGGAAAGGGAAAGCCGAAAGGCGCCGGGAGAGGACCCCGCGGCCGAUUAGCUAGUUGGUGAGGUAACGGCUCACCAAGGCAAAGAUCGGUAGCCGGCCUGAGAGGGCACACGGCCACACUGGCACUGAAACACGGGCCAGACUCCUACGGGAGGCAGCAGUGGGGAAUCUUGCACAAUGGGGGAAACCCUGAUGCAGCGACNCCGCGUGAGCGAUGAAGCCCUUCGGGGCGUAAAGCUCUUUCGGCAGGAACGAUAAUGACGGUACCUGAAGAAGAAGCUGCGGCUAACUACGUGCCAGCAGCCGCGGUAAUACGUAGGCAGCAAGCGUUGUUCGGAGUUACUGGGCGUAAAGAGUGCGUAGGCGGUGUCGAAAGUUUGGCGUGAAAUCUCCCGGCUUAACUGGGAGGGUGCGCCGAAAACUGCGACGCUGGAGUGUGGGAAAGGCAAGCGGAAUUCCUGGUGUAGCGGUGAAAUGCGUAGAUAUCAGGAGGAACACCGGCGGUGUAGACGGCUUGCUAGACCAUAACUGACGCUGAGGCACGAAAGCGUGGGUAGCAAACAGGAUUAGAUACCCUGGUAGUCCACGCCCUAAACGAUGCAUACUUGGUGUGGGCAGUUCAUUCUGUCCGUGCCGGAGCUAACGCGUUAAGUAUG